rnacentral:rRNA from 1 species
GACGAACGCUGGCGGCGUGCUUAACACAUGCAAGUCGAACGGAAAGGCCCUGCUUUUGUGGGGUGCUCGAGUGGCGAACGGGUGAGUAACACGUGAGUAACCUGCCCUUGACUUUGGGAUAACUUCAGGAAACUGGGGCUAAUACCGGAUAGGAGCUCCUGCUGCAUGGUGGGGGUUGGACAGUUUCGGCGGUUGGGGAUGGACUCGCGGCUUAUCAGCUUGUUGGUGGGGUAGUGGCCUACCAAGGCUUUGACGGGUAGCCGGCCUGAGAGGGUGGCCGGCCACCUUGGGACUGCGGUACGGCCCAGACUCCUACGGGAGGCAGCAGUGGGGAAUAUUGCACAAUGGGCGGAAGCCUGAUGCAGCAACGCCGCGUGCGGGAUGACGGCCUUCGGGUUGUAAACCGCUUUCGCCUGUGACGAAGCGUGAGUGACGGUAAUGGGUAAAGAAGCACCGGCUAACUACGUG